rnacentral:rRNA from 1 species
UACGUAGGGGGCAAGCGUUGUCCGGAUUUAUUGGGCGUAAAGAGCGUGUAGGCGGCUAGGUAGGUCCGUUGUGAAAACUCGAGGCUCAACCUCGAGACGUCGAUGGAAACCAUCUAGCUAGAGUCCGGAAGAGGAGAGUGGAAUUCCUGGUGUAGCGGUGAAAUGCGCAGAUAUCAGGAAGAACACCCGUGGCGAAGGCGGCUCUCUGGUACGUGACUGACGCUGACAGCGCGAAAGCCAGGGGAGCAAACGGG